AGCGAACGCUGGCGGCAGGCCUAACACAUGCAAGUCGAACGGAUCCUUCGGGAUUAGUGGCGGACGGGUGAGUAACACGUGGGAACGUGCCCUUUGGUUCGGAACAACUCAGGGAAACUUGAGCUAAUACCGGAUGUGCCCUUCGGGGGAAAGAUUUAUCGCCAUUGGAGCGGCCCGCGUCUGAUUAGCUAGUUGGUGAGGUAACGGCCCACCAAGGCGACGAUCAGUAGCUGGUCUGAGAGGAUGAUCAGCCACACUGGGACUGAGACACGGCCCAGACUCCUACGGGAGGCAGCAGUGGGGAAUCGUGCGCAAUGGGCGAAAGCCUGAAGCAGCCAUGCCGCGUGAAUGAUGAAGGUCUUAGGAUUGUAAAAUUCUUUCAGCGGGGACGAUAAUGACGGUACCCGCAGAAGAAGCUCCGGCUAACUUCGUG
rnacentral:rRNA from 1 species